UUUGCUCGUUCUGUGCCAAAUGUAAUUCCCAAGCUUUGAGUAUAAAUACCAGAGAAUCUUUAAACGAAUUUGUAUAAUUCUUCUAUUCCAGCAGUAAAACAUUCAACAUGAACUCAAAGGUAAUCCUGAUCGCUACAAUCAUGCUUGUCCUGGUUGAACUCAGCACUUCAGCAUCUCGUGUUCGUCGUGAAGAAACUAAUUCUGAAGGAGGUUCCGGUGGUGAUGCAUCUGCAUCCUCUAGCAGCAAUACUGAUUUCAUCAAUAACUUAAGUCAAAUGUUCGGGAAUGUGCCGAUGAGUCCUCAAGACUUCAUGAAACCUUUUCUGAGUUUCAUAAAUCGGAAUGGAUCUCAAUAAGAGAUUGUGGUGAUUAAACAAUAUGCUUUCUUUUAUAUAAUUGUGCAAUAAAUGUGUUUGAAGCA